AGAGCAAACUGAGCAGUUGCGGACGCAUCGCCGAAAGGUAGCGCCCGAGGAAAGUCCGAGCUCCACAGGGCAGGAUAACGGCUAACGGCCGCCGGGGGUGACCCUAGGGAAAGUGCAACAGAAAUAUACCGCUGUGAAUUUUUGCGGCAAGGGUGAAAAGGCGAGGUAAGAGCUCACCAGCGCGCAGGAGACUGCGCGGCUCUGCAAACCCUAUCCGGAGCAACACCGAACCAAGACAAUCGGCCCGAUUAUCGUCUUAAAAAGGUGGCACUGAGCUGCUGCGGCAACGCACGGCCAAGAUAGAUGACUGUUCACGACAGAACUCGGCUUACAGGUUUGGUCUUAUU
rnacentral:RNase_P_RNA from 1 species